AAGAAGCAAGGGAAAGUUUGACUUGACUUCCUCUGCAAUUUGUUUGUAGCAUCCGAGCAGAAAGAAUCUCAAGGCUGGCCACUUCCUGAAUGAAGACACCGAGAACGCCUGCGUGUCAACUUCACUGAAAAGUGCAGCGGUCGGCAGAAACCCGGGGCGCCGACUGGAGGAGCCCAGAGGGCAAAGUGAGAGCAUUUCUCAAUUCAGCUACAUCCUGACGAGGUACGUACUGACUCACUGGCAGGAAACUUCAGAGAUUUCAGGACAGAGGUUCUCUCUCUCUCUCCAGGUUCUGCUGGGCAGAAUGCCUGUGAUCCCCUUGCAAGAGAGACUCCAGGCUGGCUGAGCUCAUUUGCUUACGGCUGUUAGUUCCCUGCCACUUGCCUUUGUAGGCUGGCGCGAGGCCCAAGGAUUCAGGCAGAAAACGUCAGACGGGGCUCCUCGUGAACUCUCCCCUGUGUGGUUCUCCAGCUUGCCCCUGCAGAACUUUAUAUUCGGGGGAGGUCUGCCCGAGCUGGUCUGCUCCCGAGAACUGUGAAGUCGGCGGGUAAAAGGCUAAGAAAUUGAAAAAUACGGUCAGGCGGUGUGGGCUUUUGGCUCAGUACCCUCGCUGGAGACAGACUUUGUCGGCCUUUGGAGCCAUGGAGGGGAUUGCAAAACACAGAGAGAACCCGGCGAUGGCUCAGACACAGAAGGGAGAGGACGGGUUGAACAGAUAGAGCGGGGUUCCUUUCCUCCGAGAGGUGGAUCUGUCCCACGCGAGAAGAGCAGUUCCUGGGGAAUUACGGUGACGAGAAAAUGCCCCGCGUUAAGGCCGGAGGCCGUGUGAAUGAUAGAUCCUGCACUGAUUUCAAACCUCACCGUUUCUUACGGGGGAGUUUUCCUUCCAGUGUGGAGGGCAGGUCUCAAAUCAAUUCUCCUGUCUAAUUCCUGCUUCCUGCCAAGCUGCCCUUGUUGGUGUUUUCCAGAAAAAAACCCGGGUCAUCAUUACAGAGUUUCCAAAACCCCCGUGUUCAAUUAGCCUGCUUUUGAAUCCCUUCCUGACGGUUGGUUAAAUAUGGGUCCAAAGUGCUUUUUGUAAGGGGAACUGAUCUCGGGGUGAGAAACCUUAAUCUUCUGAGUCUUAAGAAACUGCAAAAUAAUGUUUUAAUGGCACCAUUACGAGAAGGCUCGAAGACUGUGUUCUUCCAGUCUGUUCUGCUUAAUUCUAUUUUGUCCACAUAUGAACAUUUCAACGUACAAAGGGCUAUUAUAUUAAAAGGACACUUGGAUAUUCUUUAUGAAGUUUCCCUUGUACUUUUAUAGAAUGUUUACAAGGUUAAUAAGUAUGCUUUUUCAUCACUGAGCAUUAUAAACGGCUCCAGUAUUGCUCCCACGUUUAUUUGAGAGUCAUUGAAAGUGCCUGAAUGGGGCUUGAUGUCCUUUGUUUCCUUUUGAUUUGGAAACAAAAGACCCGAGAAAAAAGUUUACUUUGCUGCUGAAUGCCAUAUGCAGAUCAACUGUGUUGGCCCUUGAAUGAAACCAAGGAUCUGAAGACAGAGCAGAAAACGCUCUGGUUUUUACGGCACAUGUUUGUGCCUCCGGUUUUGUCCCCUUGUGCUUGUCCCCUAACGUGGGGUUCAGCCGCACGCCCAGAUCUCUGGGGAUGGAUAAUCGAGAGUAAUCAGCAUCAACUAAGACAAAAGUUGCUGCGUGUUUCGUGGGUGGGAAAUACCGCGUGGGCAUCAUAAGGCAGCAGUGUCCUCCACUCACCGUCUCCCUUCGUCAUCUUUCCCAGUUUCUCGAGACCCGAGGCUCUUAGCUUCGGCACCGUUGAUGAAACUGGGGGCAGCAUUGUUCUUUGCGUGUCGGGGGUGGGGAGUGGGGGGGCCGUCCUGGGCAGUGCACCCCCAGCCUCCACCUGCUACAUGCCAGGAGCACAGUGUGACGAGCCAAAAAGCAUCUCCCAGCGCUGCCAAGCCUCUCCUGGUCUGGAUCACCUCUGGUUGAGAGCCAGUGUUCUAGAACAACCCACCCACAGAAGCCCUGUUUGGAGAAAGAGGAGAAGGUGAACCUCACACUCAGACGGUCGUAGUGACAAUGACUGAUGACAGAGCUGGCACUGAAAACCCUCGCGAGAAAAGGAAAGAGAACAUGACAUCAGAGGACGCAGAGAAAACUUAAUCGCCAGCCCCUCAUCCGACAGGUGAGUCCCGCAGCGGGAAGGGCAUUCCAAGGUGCUCAGUCAGAAGAGGCUUGUCGUCAGCAGCACCAACGGCAUUAUUAUGUUUUGUUAUUUCCUUUAAGUAGCACAUGGUUUCACUCGCCUGUCCCAGCCCCCCUCCUGCUUAGAGUCGGUUGAAAACAACACGUCUCAGAAUCCUUGUCGAAAUGGCCUGGGAGUGAUAGUUGCUAAGUUAAUUUCAGUGCCUAAAAACGGACAUGUACCGCAGUAAUAAAACACACACGGGUUUCAUGAGACGCUGUUAGGACAAUAGAAAGAAAGUGUAUUAUGGCAACUGUGGAUGAAUAUGGCCACACGAAGUUUAAAAAAUAUAUUGAAAUAUAAAGAUAUGUUAAAAAAAAGAUCCGCGGUAAAACCUGGGAAGGCGAGUAACGUGUUCUGCGAGCGUUCCGCAAGGCGAGCAAACAUGUCUAAUAAAUUUUCGCUUGAUAA